UACGUAGGGGUGCGAGCGUUGUCCGGAAUUAUUGGGGCGUAAAGGGCUCGUAGGCGGUUUGUCGCGUCGGGAGUGAAAUCCACUGGCUUAACUGGUGGCUUGCUUUCGAUACGGGCAGACUGGAGGUAUGCAGGGGAGAACGGAAUUCCUGGUGUAGCGGUGAAAUGCGCAGAUAUCAGGAGGAACACCGGUGGCGAAGGCGGUUCUCUGGGCAUGUCCUGACGCUGAGGAGCGAAAGUGUGGGGAGCGAACAGG
rnacentral:rRNA from 1 species